AAUGAAAUAUGAAAAGAAGUAGUUAUAUGCUUGUCUCAAAGAUUAAGCCAUGCAUGUCUAAGUACACACGAAUUAAAAGUGAAACCGCAAAAGGCUCAUUAUAUCAGUUAUGGUUCUUUAGAUCGUUAACAGUUACUUGGAUAACUGUGGUAAUUCUAGAGCUAAUACAUGCAAUUAAAACAUGAACCUUAUGGGACAUGUGCUUUUAUUAGGCUAAAACCAAGCGAUCGCAAGAUCGUUAUAUUGGUUGAACUCUAGAUAACAUGCAGAUCGUAUGGUCUUGUACCGACGACAGAUCUUUCAAAUGUUUGCCCUAUCAACUUUUGAUGGUAGUAUCUAGGACUACCAUGGUUGCAACGGGUAACGGGGAAUCAGGGUUCGAUUCCGGAGAGGGAGCCUGAGACGCGGCUACCACAUCUAAGGAAGGCAGCAGGCGCGUAAAUUACCCACUCCCAGCUCGGGGAGGUAGUGACGAAAAAUAACAAUACAGGACUCAUAUCCGAAGCCCUGUAAUUGGAAUAAGUACACUUUAAAUCCUUUAACAAGGACCAAUUGGAGGGCAAGUCUGGUGCCAGCAGCCGCGGUAAUUCCAGCUCCAAUAGCGUAUAUUAAAGUUGUUGCGGUUAAAACGUUCGUAGUUGAACUUGUGCUUCAUACGGGUAGUACAACUUACAAUUGUGGUUAGUACUAUACCUUUAUGUAUGUAAGCGUAUUAUAUUCAUUGGUUUUAGAUCAAGAGGUAAUUAUUAAUAGAAGCAGUUUGAGGGCAUUAGUAUUACGACGCGAGAGGUGAAAUUCUUGGACCGUCUUAAGACUAACUUAAGACUUAUGUUUUCAUUAAUCAACGGACGGCACGGACUUGGGGAAUCCGACUGUCUAAUUAAAACAAAGCAUUGUGAUGGCCCUAGCGGGUGUUGACACAAUGUGAUUUCUGCCCAGUGCUCUGAAUGUCAAAGUGAAGAAAUUCAAGUAAGCGCGGGUCAUCGGCAGGAGUAACUAUGACUCUCUUAAGGAGGACCAAUAUGAACCAAACGCAGCGGUUACUCUAUCUAGGGUUCCCUGCACAGUAUGUGGCCGGUCCUUUAACAGCAAGAGAGGACUCGGUGUUCACAUGCGAUCUCGGCACCCAGACGAACUUGAUGAAGAACGUCGACGUGUCGAUAUAAAGGCAAGAUGGAGUGAUGAAGAGAAGUGGAUGAUGGCGAGAAAGGAGGUUGAGCUCACAGCAAAUGGAUGUAAACACAUAAACAAGCAACUAGCGGAGUAUUUUGCAAACCGCAGCGUCGAAGCCAUCAAAAAGCUAAGACAGAGGGGCGAUUAUAGAGAGAAAAUAGAGCAGAUAAGAGGGCAAUCAGCUCUCGCCCCGGAAGUUGCUAAUCUAACCAUAAGGCGCCGCCCUAGUAGAAGUGAGCAAGACCACCAAGUAACAACAUCGGAAACAACUCCAAUCACUCCCUUCGAACAGUCGAACAGGGAAAUUUUGCGGACACUGCGCGGGUAUAGCCCCGUAGAAUACCAUUCCAAAUGGAGAGCCCAAGAGUUGCAAACCAUCAUUGAUAGGGCACAUCUCGAGGGAAAGGAA
rnacentral:rRNA from 1 species